GUGGGGAAUAUUGGACAAUGGGGGGAACCCUGAUCCAGCCAUGCCGCGUGUGUGAAGAAGGCCUUUUGGUUGUAAAGCACUUUAAGCGAGGAGGAGGCUACCGAGAUUAAUACUCUUGGAUAGUGGACGUUACUCGCAGAAUAAGCACAGGCUAACUCUGUGCCAGCAGCCGCGGUAAUACAGAGGGUGCAAGCGUUAAUCGGAUUUACUGGGCGUAAAGCGCGCGUAAGUGGCCAAUUAAGUCAAAUGUGAAAUCCCCGAGCUUAACUUGGGAAUUGCAUUCGAUACUGGUUUGCUAGAGUAUGGGAGAGGAUGGUAGAAUUCCAGUGGUAGCGGUGAAAUGCGUAGAGAUCUGGAGGAAUACCGAUGGCGAAGGCAGCCAUCUGGCCUAAUACUGACACUGAGGUGCGAAAGCAUGGGGAGCAAACAGGAUUAGAUACCCGGGUAGUCC
rnacentral:rRNA from 1 species